rnacentral:rRNA from 1 species
AGUGAACGCUGACGGUAGGCCUAACACAUGCAAGUCGAACGGCAGCACAGUAAGAGCUUGCUCUUACGGGUGGCGAGUGGCGGACGGGUGAGGAAUACAUCGGAAUCUACUUUUUCGUGGGGGAUAACGUAGGGAAACUUACGCUAAUACCGCAUACGACCUACGGGUGAAAGCAGGGGAUCUUCGGACCUUGCGCGAUUGAAUGAGCCGAUGUCGGAUUAGCUAGUUGGCGGGGUAAAGGCCCACCAAGGCGACGAUCCGUAGCUGGUCUGAGAGGAUGAUCAGCCACACUGGAACUGAGACACGGUCCAGACUCCUACGGGAGGCAGCAGUGGGGAAUAUUGGACAAUGGGCGCAAGCCUGAUCCAGCCAUACCGCGUGGGUGAAGAAGGCCUUAGGGUUGUAAAGCCCUUUUGUUGGGAAAGAAAAGCAGCAGGUUAAUACCCCGCUGUUCUGACGGUACCCAAAGAAUAAGCACCGGCUAACUUCGUG